rnacentral:rRNA from 1 species
UACGGAGGGUGCAAGCGUUGCUCGGAAUCACUGGGCGUAAAGGGCGUGUAGGCGGUUUCGUAUGUCUGGCGUGAAAGCCCCGGGCUCAACCCGGGAAGUGCGUUGGAAACUGCGAAACUAGAGUCUCGGAGAGGAAGGUGGAAUUCCAGGUGUAGCGGUGAAAUGCGUAGAUAUCUGGAGGAACACCGGUGGCGAAGGCGGGUCUCUGGGCCGAUACUGACGCUGAGGAGCGAAAGCGUGGGGAGCGAACAGG